rnacentral:rRNA from 1 species
GAUGAACGCUGGCGGCGUGCUUAACACAUGCAAGUCGAACGGAAAGGCUCCUGCUUGCAGGGGUACUCGAGUGGCGAACGGGUGAGUAACACGUGGGUGAUCUGCCCUGCACUUCGGGAUAAGCCUGGGAAACUGGGUCUAAUACCGGAUAGGACGAUGGUUUGGAUGCCAUUGUGGAAAGUUUUUCGGUGUGGGCUGAGCUCGCGGCCUAUCAGCUUGUUGGUGGGGUAAUGGCCUACCAAGGCGUCGACGGGUAGCCGGCCUGAGAGGGUGUACGGCCACAUUGGGACUGAGAUACGGCCCAGACGCCUACGGGAGGCAGCAGUGGGGAAUAUUGCACAAUGGGCGCAAGCCGGAUGCAGCGACGCCGCGGGGGGGAUGACGGCCUUCGGGGUGUAAACUCCUUUCGCUAGGGACGAAGCGCAAGUGACGGUACCUGGAGAAGAAGCACCGGCUAACUACGUG